AACGAACGCUGGCGGCAGGCUUAACAUAUGCAAGUCGAACGCAUCCUUCGGGGUGAGUGGCAGACGGGUGAGUAACGCGUGGGAACGUGCCCUUCAGUUCGGGAUAACCCAGGGAAACUUGGGCUAAUACCGGAUACGUGCGAGAGCAGAAAGAUUUAUCGCUGAAGGAUCGGCCCGCGUCUGAUUAGCUAGUUGGUGGGGUAAUGGCCCACCAAGGCGACGAUCAGUAGCUGGUCUGAGAGGAUGAUCAGCCACAUUGGGACUGAGACACGGCCCAAACUCCUACGGGAGGCAGCAGUGGGGAAUAUUGGACAAUGGGCGCAAGCCUGAUCCAGCCAUGCCGCGUGAGUGAUGAAGGCCUUAGGGUUGUAAAGCUCUUUCGUCCGGGACGAUAAUGACGGUACCGGGAGAAGAAGCCCCGGCUAACUUCGUGCCAGCAGCCGCGGUAAGAC
rnacentral:rRNA from 1 species